rnacentral:rRNA from 1 species
GACGAACGCUGGCGGCGUGCUUAACACAUGCAAGUCGAACGGAAAGGCCCUGCUUUUGUGGGGUGCUCGAGUGGCGAACGGGUGAGUAACACGUGAGUAACCUGCCCUUGACUUUGGGAUAACUUCAGGAAACUGGGGCUAAUACCGGAUAGGAGCUCCUGCUGCAUGGUGGGGGUUGGAAAGUUUCGGCGGUUGGGGAUGGACUCGCGGCUUAUCAGCUUGUUGGGGGGGUAGUGGCUUACCAAGGCUUUGACGGGUAGCCGGCCUGGGAGGGUGACCGGCGACAUGGGGACUGAGAUACGGCCCAGACUCCAACGGGAGGCAGCAGUGGGGAAUAUUGCACAAUGGGCGGAAGCCAGAUGCAGCAACGCCGCGUGCGGGAUGACGGGCUUCGGGUUGUAAACCGCUUUCGCCUGUGACGAAGCGUGAGUGACGGUAAUGGGUAAAGAAGCACCGGCUAACUACGUG